rnacentral:misc_RNA from 1 species
AACUCUCAAGCUUUGCUUGGUAUUGGAAGAGAUUCUUUUGAAUCCUUUCGAAACUUGUAAGUGCGAGACCUAAAAACUUCAAGCGUAGCAAUCUUUCGUUUCGUUGUUUGAUGGUUCUUUGCCUCUCAAUCAAAAACUUCUAA